UGGAACGGCUGCCCACACCCACUAGGAUCAGACUCACUGGCUGGGACGCUGCAGCUGCCUCAUCUCCCUGUCUCCGCAGGUUAGAUGCAACUCCUGCAACAGGAACAAGGUGGAGAGAUGUAUAUGAUGGAGAGUGUCUGUCCAAUGUGUCUGACUGUAUAAAUGCGCACAGAUGAUGGUGUGACAGAGAGAUUUUAUCAGAAAGAGGUUGGGCCAGUGACAUUACUCACAUGUGACACCUUGAAUGAAUUAUGCAGACUACACUAAAUGUAUGGUGUUAAUUUUUAUAUCUAUUAUAUAUUCUGUGUAUUACAUACAUUACAGAAAUAUUUUGAGAUGA